UAUGUUUUAGUUACAAAAUAGGUACAAAUCAUGUAUUUUUAAACCGAAGAACCGAUUGGGACCCGAAUCCGAAAGUACAAUGGGUUAUACCGGUUCUUUGAAGAUUUACUAACCCCGAUCCGAACCCGAUAUAACCCGAUCCGGUCCCGAACCGAACUUUUAUAUAACCCGAAUGGGGUUGAUUUUGAUAAACCCAAAAAACCAAAAUCCGAAUGGAUAUAACCGAAACCCGAUUGAGACCCCAAAUGCCCAUGCCUACUCUCCCUUCUCUGCGAGCGCGUCGCUUACGUCUGUGUGUUUGUCUCACCAAAUAGGUUGGGCUUUUGUGUGAUUAAUAUAGGCCUAAAUAUGAUUAGGUUAUUUUUCUUCUUGGUCGUUCUUCUUCUUCCCUGCCUCUUGACCGAAAGUCGACAACGUAACGUCCCAAGAAUCUUUGCUCUGAUAUUUAUUCUGAGUUUUCCUUUCAUUAAUCCUUUCAUUUAAUUCUCACUUAUCUCUCGUCUUUUCAACGUCAUUAUUUUCAAUCCUAUAAAUUGAGGACCAUAACUUUGCUCUAGCAAACAAUCCAUUCCUUGGAACACAGCCUACAAAAAUGAGGCAAUAUUAGCUUUGUUCAGACUUCAGACAACAAAUUACUUAGAAAGCUCAUAACACCUUCUCUUCCACAAUCCAAUGACAAAACCAAAGCUCUCCAAAUAACCCCUGAAAUCCAUUCAUGGCAUCAAAAGAUCUACGGGUAUUGCUUCUAUCUUUCUAUAAAUAUUUUAGUCAUUUGGAUUCUGUUUCGGCCAGUAUGAUAUAAUAUGAUAUUGAUUCUUUCUCGCCUUGAAAUUUAAGUUCAAGUUCAUGUUUCUUUAUAAAGGUCAACAUUAUUUUUUUCUUUUCUACAUUUCUGAUACUCCACCUAUAUUAUAGCGUAAGAGAAUCCCUAAAAUUGACGUUCCUAAAACUGAUACCAUGUAAUUAAAAAAUACUUCACCUAUAUUUGUUCUUAUGAGGUGUCGUUUGUGGAGCUAAUUUUUUUAAUUGUAUUUUGCAUUGCGGUUAAGUGUAUGUGAAGUAUUUUUUAGGACUAAUGAUUAGUAUGGUUGUAGCUUGAUCAAUGUGUUAUUGUAUUUCCUGCAGAUGAUGCUUUUCUCCAUCUGAUUCAGCCAAUGAAAUAAGCAUAUUGAUCACAAUAAUGCUCUUUAGCUUCUAUGACUAUGAGCAAACACUAAUGGUUGGUUUUUAAUAUGUCCACUUGAAUUUCUCUUAUCAGAUGCAUAAGACUGUGAUAGUCUUUGAAAGUGGUCAAACCACAUGAAUUUUAUGUUGAUUUUGAGAUGAUUUUGUACUUUACUGCAACCUCCAACCACCUCAGUUACGGUGCGCACUGCUUACUGCAAUGGGCGUCUCCUACAAGCCAAAGAACCUUGCCAUUGCUUCCAGAAGAUUCUUUGGCACUAACCCAAAUCUAGCGAGCUAGGCCAAGAUGGCUACAGCUACACAAGUUGUGCAAAUCCCUAAACGCAACAUGACCCAUGAAACCAAGCUUAACUACGACUUAAAAACCCGUUUGUGAUAUGCAGGUCAACUUAUAUCCCGAUCUGCAUAGGACAAAAGGAUGUGUCAUGUCCUUCACCGCCCGGUUUCUACCAACCCAGGAAGAAAGCGUAUGUUCUGUAUGUGAUAUUGCAGUCAUUGGCGUAGACGCAUCUGGUCUGCUCGCUUUGCUCUCCGUUUCAAGUCCGGUGAUCAAUUCAGAUUGGUAACUUUCAGAGUCUUAUGUGGUUUUCUACCUCUGUGGAUGAGGUUAAGUAAAAGUGACUUUAAAUAAAGAAAAAUAUUGUUUUGACAAAGUUAUACAUAUUCUGCAAUUUGUAAAUUGUGAAUGAUGUAGCUAGGACUAUAAUCUAUUAUUUUAUAUAUAGUCAUUGUAGGAGUUCGUUUAUAUAUUUUUUAACUUACUUCAAGUAUGUUUCCGGUAUGUGAAAACAUGAAAUACUUACUGUAUGAGUAUAAAAUUAAUAAAAACAGAGUUUUGAAAUGAAAUCAUUACAGCAGAGUAGAGGAAUGAGCAUACAUAUAAAUAACUGUAUACACACUUGGUAUUGCAUAAAUUAAAUAUACAAACAUCUUUUAUAAAGCGUAACUUAUAUAGAUCGUAGAUAUAAGAGUAUUACAUAACUACGCUAGACAGAGACCCAAAAGCUUGCCUAAAAGAAACAUAAUCCCCACAAAAUUUUGAAAAAACAAAUAAAAACAUAGAGGGCCAUCAGUGUGAUGUAAUACUUGACUUAUAGACUGCUAAAUGUUUACUUAAGAUUUGGUUUAUUUAUUUUUGGAACAUUUUUUAAUUGACCGCUAAAAUCAGUUACAAUCAAACCCAAUUAAUUAUAAUGUUUUAAAAGACAUUUUAAAAUGGAAAAGAUUGUAGACUUGGGACGUUUCCGGUUUUGGUUCUCAAUUCGUUCAUGUAACAAAGUAAUGAACCGGCUAAUAUCCGAGAUAAUUAAGAUCCCGUUUGGUUUUAUUUUUUUUUUGGUUAGUUCAGGUUAAAAAGUCGCAAAUUUUGAGUUUUCAGAUUAAGUAUUAGAUUUUCAGGUUCUCGGAUAAAAUUUUAGAUAAUUCAGAUAAUUUUAAAUUUUUGGAUAAAUUAAAAUUAUUCUGGUAACUCGGAUAUUUCAGAUUAUAAAUAGUAUUUGUGAAUUAUUUGAUUAUUUUAAAACUAAAUAUAGUUGAUAUUAAUUUAUAAGUUUAUAUAUUAUAUUUUAGAAAUUUGGGCACCGUACGAUUCCAGUUCCUUGGUUCUUGGAUAACUGAUAAAAUCCAAACCCAAAAUGAACUUUUUUUUUUGUUUGGUUAUGUUUUUUGGUUUCGAAUAAAUGUGCACGUACCUACUCAUGAUAUAUGUUCGUUUAAUUGGUUUUGUAUUUGAUUUCCGCUAUGAACCAAUUAUAUUCUAAUCAUGUUUAACAUAUUAAUAUAGAUGCAACAUAAUAUCCAUUGAAAAACCUAAAUAUCGAAUUUAUAUAAGAAUUAAGAUUCUAAUAAUAUAACUAUUUAAUAAUAGAAAAACCGGCGCGUAGCGCCAGAAAACCCCUAGUUGACAUAAUAUUUUUAACAAUUUCAGUUGGAGGCAUAUAUAGGCUUUUAACGAGGAAAUAAAGUAAAUCACUACAAAUGCUAGUUUUAUUGAGGGUUAAGAAUUAAGACUUAUUCUUGGACUCACCCGCUAAGGUUUAUUAACCAAUAGUAUUGUGUUAUUUUAUAUUCGAUAUUUAAAAAAAAAACAAAAUAUUGUCAAAUUAUAUUAUGUUUAAAAAUUAAAAGGUACAAAUAAAUAAAUAAAAAAUA